rnacentral:lncRNA from 1 species
UAAGAAACAGGAAGUCAUUAUUUGCCCAAAGCAAACAAACUCACAAACUGCCGGGUUCACAUUCAGUCCAAAGUUCCCGUCCUAGGAGGUGCGCAUGUGGGCUGAGGACGCGGGGACCGAGCAACGACUGCGGGCCACACACACAGCCGGCAGGGUUUCACAGCCGCGGCUUGCAGGAAGCCUGAGGAUGAUGAGCACUGUCUGGGCUCCAGUUCUGCACGCUUUGCCAUUCAUGUAUCCUGGCUCAGCUGACAAGCCGGAGGAGAUCGAUGGAGAAGGUGUGCCCUGCCACUGGGGGAGUUUCGGGGGAGGGCGCUGGUGGGAUGGGCCCAAACCUCCUCCAUGAAAGAACACCUAGAAAUGAUCGUCCACGGAAUGAAAGCAAAGAUGUGGGUGUGGGUAGCAGCCGACUCAAGACUUCCUGUGAGGCUUCUGAGCCCCAGGACCCCCUUAUGGGAUUGACACUAAGGUGCUUUUAUCAGGGUAGGUGAGAGUCUAGGGACAGACUUGAAAUAUCGUUUCCUCGCGUCACUCCCUCCCCUCCUCCCCCAGCUCCAAGUCACUCACAUGAUCUGUGUAUUAACCUCGUGUCUUUUUCUAGAAAGGUUUUACGAAGUGUUGGUGUGCUAUAUUAUUAACAGGGUUGUGCUGCAUAUUUAAGUUUAGACAAUUAUACAGUAUUCCUGGAGGUGGUGAAGGGGCGGAGAAAGGAGAGAGGAAGAGAAAGAUUUCUUCACUUACCUUCCACCAAGUCAACUAGACCUUGUCCCUGGGGAAAGGGAUGGUGUAGCAGAACACAUAGAAAAAGAGUAAGGUAAUUGCAAAUUUUAAAAUCCCGGUUAUUUCAGGAAAUUUCAAGGAUGAUUCUGCAUUUCCCAUGCCCUGCCUGAAACAUUGCAGAUGCCUUCUGACUGGUCUUCCAGCCUAGACUUAGCCCUCUAGUCUUCUUUCUACUCUGCUGCGAGAGUGAGGUUUCAAACACAGAGACAUGGACAGACAACUCCUCAGACCAGCAUUUCACGACGUCCCGUUGCUGGCCUGCUGCAGACCACACCCAACACCUAUUGAGCACUUACUCCAUGCCAGGUACUGCUUUAGGCGCAUGUAUUAUCUAAGUAGUCCUCACAGCACAUAGUUACUAUUAGGUUUUCCCAUUUAAGAUGCGAAGAAACAAGCUCAGGACGUUAAGUAACUUGUUCAAGCUCACCAGCUCAU